UGUGUCGCCAUUCCAUCGUCCACCGCCACGGCAGCUCCCCUCCGCCAUUUCGGAUGGUGUCCCUGAAGAUGGAUGUAUGGUUUGCCGGGUGGGUGCACGAUGACCACCAGUGCGGGUGGCUAGGGCCUGAACCGCGAUUAGAUGGCUGGCGCCAUGCCCUCCUCCACUUGCCCCUGGCUCGACCUUUGGCCGGCCUGUGCGGCUGCAAGGGGCAGCGGGAGCCGGAUGCCCGAGCACUAGCCGGCGCUUUAGGUGGGGAUGGCGGCAAGUACAGGGAGGCGCGCCUGGAGAACCUAGGGGAGAUGGCGGCGACGGGAUCGCCCAGGGUGGCGCAGGCGAGCUGGGAUUAAGGCGCCGAGAUCACCCAGGGGAGGCAGCGACGGGGCGGGAAGGUCCGGGUUCGCUCCUCCACGCGAGGCUCCGCCCCUGCCCCAGGAUCUGUAUGCACUCACCGAGCUCCUUCCGGACGGCCGGAGCGGCUGUGGCUUUGGGGUACUCAUGGACAGCAAGCACGACGAGCUUGCCGAGCGGGAAGAAGGAGGUGGCGGAGGGGAGGAGCAUGGCUGGACGUCAGUUGCCCCCGCUGCCACCACAGGCCUGCUCUGCUAGAUUUCAAUCGUGGCCCUCUUCCCCUGUGAUUUACUCUUUGAUGGGUGCAUUCCAGACUUUCCCUACAAAUAAGGUGGGACGAAAUCCAACCAUGAGGCCAAGAUUUUCUUUUUCGAGAAUGAUGAGGCCAAGAUUUAGAACAGAAAAAGAUAAACAUAAACAAUCAGGGGAAGGUAGGGCUUGCAGUUGGAAAUUGUGCCUGCGAGGGUGCUAGGAGGUCAUGGGAAGCACGCCAGCAAUGCUGUCACUCGAAUGUCCAAGCAAGCAUUGAUGCCAUCUGUGUCUGCAUCUUGCGGGGGACAACUUGCACCUCAGGCCCUCAGCUGCGUCCCACAAGCCGUCUAACGUCCUAAUUUACGAUGAGAAGGAAAACCUAUAAAAGAUUGUUUGUUUGUCCAUAUAGAAGCUAACUGAAACUUAGAGAUUUUCUUGGUAUUUGUGUUGAGUUGGGUGUGGCAUUUUGGGUCCAUUCUAAUCAUGCACCCUCUUAAAAAAUUUAAUCAUUUCACUGUAGUUGUUGACUCUGCUAUCCUACCAAGCUUUCUACAAGUGAAAUUUUAUUCUAAUUAGUUAGUUGAUUACAAAUUAAUGGGCUGAAGUCGACCAUCCAAGCAUUUUUAGAGAUGCUUUGUUUUUUCCAAUUAUAUUUGAACAAUUUUCCACCAAAGAGGUAGGUUGUGAAAUGGCAACCCUCUUAGCUAUGGAGAUGUAACAUAACUUGUGAUAUUAGAUUAUAUUCUGCCAAACGUUGGUUGCACAGGUAUAACCAUUAAACAUGCAGAAAAUUAACUGUUUUUGAAAUGUACUUGAAUAAAAGAGGAAGCAAGUUUUGGGUCAUGUCCACUGCAAAGUGUUCAGCACUUAAGUUCCAUUGCAUUAUUCUGUACCAAGCGGAGGCGAUUAGCACUUAGCACAUAAAACAGUUGGCAUCAUGAAUUGCUCACUCAGCCUAUCUGUUUGUGCUUUUUCUUCAGGCUACUUUCUUACUUAUUCUGACCUAUCGUGUUUUCUGAUGGCGUCCCAAUUGGUACUACUGCAUUGGCUCGCGAGAGAGACAACUAACACAGAGGCUUCUAAGGUUGUGAACAUGAAAGUAAUCUUUGCUACUGCUGCACUUGCCGGCGAGCCAUGAACAAAUAUGACAAUUGCACAGAUUCAGAGCUUGCCUACUAGGACAUGCUGAUACAACUAUAUUCUCAAGAGUAUGGUACAAGCCAAGGUGGGUCAUUUUGAGCAAUCAUGUUCAGUCUACCUUGACAAAUGGCCGUUGCAUCGUUUGCGGCACUUCUUGAUGGGACCAGAGUGGCGACAGCAAAAAGAUCAAUAGUGGAUCCGUUGUCGGAGGAUGGAAAUAUCAUGUGUGUGCUCAACGACUUGGAAGGGAAGCUUGGGUACUGAUGAGCUGAGUUGAGAUGCGGAAGCAGCCUAGGUACUCAUGAGCUGAGCUGAGCUGAGAUGCGGAAAGACAAUCUUAGAACUAGGGCCAAGAGGUGUAUAUAAAGGGAACCAACAGAUAGAUUUGUAGCAUUUUUGGCUUCCUCUUUUCAUGCCCAAAAAUGUUCACGUGCGAUAUUAACAUGUGAUGUCAUUUCCAAUAGAAAAGUUUCAUUGCAAUUAGGUUGAUUUUAACAUGUAACACAACAUACAGGCUUAUAAAUGUUGCAUGGUACUUGUUUAUGUU